UGGGGAAUAUUGCACAAUGGGCGCAAGCCUGAUCCAGCCAUGCCGCGUGUGUGAAGAAGGUCUUCGGAUUGUAAAGCACUUUAAGUUGGGAGGAAGGGCAUUAACCUAAUACGUUAGUGUUUUGACGUUACCGACAGAAUAAGCACCGGCUAACUCUGUGCCAGCAGCCGCGGUAAUACAGAGGGUGCAAGCGUUAAUCGGAAUUACUGGGCGUAAAGCGCGCGUAGGUGGUUUGUUAAGUUGGAUGUGAAAUCCCCGGGCUCAACCUGGGAACUGCAUUCAAAACUGACUGACUAGAGUAUGGUAGAGGGUGGUGGAAUUUCCUGUGUAGCGGUGAAAUGCGUAGAUAUAGGAAGGAACACCAGUGGCGAAGGCGACCACCUGGACUAAUACUGACACUGAGGUGCGAAAGCGUGGGGAGCAAACA
rnacentral:rRNA from 1 species